ACAAGCAGUGGAGUAUGUGGUUAAUUCGAAGCAACGCGAAGAACCUUACCAGGGCGUUGACAUCCCUUGAAGCAGCUAGAGAUAGCUGUGCUUCGGGACAAGGAGACAGGUGGUGCAUGGUUGUCGUCAGCUCGUGUCGUGAGAUGUUGGGUUAAGUCCCGCAACGAGCGCAACCCCUGUGGUUAGUUGCCAGCAAGUAGCGUUGGGCACUCUAGCCAGACUGCCGGUGAUAAAUCGGAGGAAGGUGGGGACGACGUCAAAUCAUCAUGCCCUUUAUGUCCUGGGCUACACACGUACUACAAUGGCCGUUACAACGGGAAGCGAAGGAGCAAUCCGGAGCAAAUCCCUUAAAGGCGGUCCCAGUUCAGAUUGUGGGCUGAAACUCGCCCACAUGAAGGCGGAAUUGCUAGUAAUUGCAGAUCAGCAUGCUGCAGUGAAUACGUUCCCGGGCCUU
rnacentral:rRNA from 1 species